UAACCAGGAUUCCCCUAGUAACGGCGAGUGAACAGGGAUUAGCCCAGCACCGAAGCCUGUGGUCGUUUGGUCACUAGGCAAUGUGGUGUUUAGGCCGGUUCUUGGUAUUACUGCUUUAUCCCAAGUCCAGCAAUGAGUACGGCUUGUUGUAGUGGCCCUGAGAGGGUGAAAGGCCCGUGGGGGUUUAGCAGAUUUUGCCCUGGACUGACCUUGGAGUCGGGUUGUUUGUGAAUGCAGCCCAAAGUGGGUGGUAAACUCCAUCUAAGGCUAAAUACUGGCACGAGUCCGAUAGCAAACAAGUACCGUGAGGGAAAGUUGAAAAGUACUUUGAAGAGAGAGUAAAGAGUGCGUGAAACCGCUCAGAGGUAAACGGGUGGAGUUGAACUGCAAUCCAUGAGGAUUCAGCUGUCAAGUAUGAUAUGCGUUUGGGCAUCAUAGCCCGCUCUCCAAGGCCGCGUGACUGUGGGUUCCUACUCUCUGGGUGGGAAUGUGCGCUGCGCUUGUCAAGUGCUGUACACUUGGGGGGUGAGGGGUUAACUUGUCAGUGCACUUUCUUGUGGUGUUCACCACGACCGGCGCUGCCGUCUGUCUGCUGUGGUCAAACCGGUUAGGCUUGGUCUUUUGGUCAGGCUUGGUCGGGAUGGCAGGUAGCUCUUUGGUUCUUGUUGGCUUCNGCUUGCAUGAGUCAAUGAGUGUAAUCAGCUGGCUGGGGUAGAUCAGUGCGGUGCGUCGGGGCUAGCGGCUUUGGUGUGUGCAUGUGUGCUAUGGCUUUCUGGC
rnacentral:rRNA from 1 species